rnacentral:lncRNA from 1 species
UUAUUACAUCAUUUUCUUGAUAAUGAAACUUGAUUAAGGUUUAUUAAGUGUAGCAAUGUGGAAUGUGCAUUUGAGAAGGAAUGAAGAAACAAUUUUCAAAACUAACAAUCUUUGAGUAAUUUUAUGCAAAUAAUCAGGAGUCAACUGAUAAAUAUCUAUAAUGUUGUUUAUUAUUAAAAAAAAAAUAAGGAAGACAGCGAACAAAACCAAAGCUCUAAAUCAAUAUUUUAUUAGACAAACGUGAUACGACCGAAUUUUUUAAUAAGCCGAGUUGGGGUUUGAUGCGUCCUUGUCCUUGUAUGGAAGUAUCGUCGUUACACAGGAAAAAAAUAAAAAAUAAAAAUGGCGUGAGGAUAUCAUUGUCAAUUUACAAUACGGUCCAGCUCUUCUGGUAUACGGAUUCAAACAUUUCGCUCUCCAGCACUGCACCGUCGUCUGAGCUAAAAUUUGAUAAAAAUAUACUGCCAAUAAAUAUUAUUAUGUCAGGCUUUAAUUUUUCAAUCGUGAUUUUUUCUGUCCCAAGAACGGACGAAUUCAGACAGCUAUUGAUGUAGCUGCAUGCCACCUGUACGGUGGACCGCUGUGGUAAUCAUUUCAAUUCAUAUUUUCCGAUUGGUUUGUUAAUUUCUCUGUACCCGCUACUGAGGACAAUACUGAAUUAUUUUGUGAUAUGAAAAUUUCUUCAUAAUUUUCCGAAAUAGUUCAUAAUUUCUGAGUGUUUUAAACUUCUACCUCAAUUAUAAUUGUAUAGUAUUAUUACAAUAUUGAAUUAUUUUGUGAUAUGAAAAUUUCUUCAUAAUUUUUUUGGAACUUGAGAAAGUGAUGUGGCAUCACCAUUUCUCAUCUUUGUAUGUUCUU